rnacentral:rRNA from 1 species
GUGAGGAAUAUUGGUCAAUGGGCGGGAGCCUGAACCAGCCAAGUCGCGUGAAGGAAGAAGGAUCUAUGGUUCGUACACUUCUUUUGCAGGGGAAUAAAGUGCAGGAGGUGUCCUGUUUUGUAUGUACCCUGAGAAUAAGGAUCGGCUAACUCCGUGCCAGCAGCCGCGGUAAUACGGAGGAUCCGAGCGUUAUCCGGAUUUAUUGGGUUUAAAGGGUGCGUAGGUGGUUUGAUAAGUCAGCGGUGAAAGUUUGCAGCUUAACUGUAAAAAUGCCGUUGAAACUGUCGGACUUGAGUGUAAAUGAGGUAGGCGGAAUGCGUGGUGUAGCGGUGAAAUGCAUAGAUAUCACGCAGAACUCCGAUUGCGAAGGCAGCUUACUAAGCUACAACUGACACUGAAGCACGAAAGCGUGGGGAUCAAACAGGAUUAGAAACCCCGGUAGUCC